GACGAACGCUGGCGGCGUGCUUAACACAUGCAAGUCGAACGGAAAGGCCCUGCUUUUGUGGGGUGCUCGAGUGGCGAACGGGUGAGUAACACGUGAGUAACCUGCCCUUGACUUUGGGAUAACUUCAGGAAACUGGGGCUAAUACCGGAUAGGAGCUCCUGCUGCAUGGUGGGGGUUGGAAAGUUUCGGCGGUUGGGGAUGGACUCGCGGCUUAUCCGCUUGUUGGUGGGGUAGUGGCUUACCAAGGCUUUGACGGGUAGCCGGCCUGAGGGGGUGACCGGCCCCAUUGGGACGGAGAUACGGCCCAGACUCCUACGGGAGGCAGCAGUGGGGAAUAUUGCACAAUGGGCGGAAGCCUGAUGCAGCAACGCCGCGUGCGGGAUGACGGCCUUCGGUUUGUAAACCGCUUUCGCCUGUGACGAAGCGUGAGUGACGGUAAUGGGUAAAGAAGCACCGGCUAACUACGUG
rnacentral:rRNA from 1 species